rnacentral:rRNA from 1 species
AGUGAACGCUGGCGGUAGGCCUAACACAUGCCAGUCGAACGGCAGCACAGUAAGAGCUUGCUCUUACGGGUGGCGAGUGGCGGACGGGUGAGGAAUACAUCGGAAUCUACUUUUUCGUGGGGGAUAACGUAGGGAAACUUACGCUAAUACCGCAUACGACCUACGGGUGAAAGCAGGGGAUCUUCGGACCUUGCGCGAUUGAAUGAGCCGAUGUCGGAUUAGCUAGUUGGCGGGGUAAAGGCCCACCAAGGCGACGAUCCGUAGCUGGUCUGAGAGGAUGAUCAGCCACACUGGAACUGGGACACGGUCCAGACUCCUACGGGAGGCAGCAGUGGGGAAUAUUGGACAAUGGGCGCAAGCCUGAUCCAGCCAUACCGCGUGGGUGAAGAAGGCCUUCGGGUUGUAAAGCCCUUCUGUUGGGAAAGAAAAGCAGCAGGUUAAUACCCCGCUGUUCUGACGGUACCCAAAGAAUAAGCACCGGCUAACUUCGUG